UACAGAGGAACCAAGCGUUGUCCGGAUUGACUGGGCGUAAAGCGCACGCAGGCGGGUGCGCGCGUGGGGGGUGAAAUCUGGCCGCUUAACGGCCAGGCGCCAUCCCAUACGGCGCGCCUGGAGCCUUGCAGAGGGCGGUGGAAUUGCCGGUGUAGUGGUGGAAUGCGUAGAGAUCGGGAAGAACAUCAGUGGCGAAGGCGGCCUGCUGGGCUGUUGCUGACGCUGAGGCGCGACAGCGUGGGGAGCAAACAGG
rnacentral:rRNA from 1 species